rnacentral:rRNA from 1 species
UACGAAGGGGGCUAGCGUUAUUCGGAAUUACUGGGCAUAAAGAGCACGUAGGUGGUCCGCUAAGUCACGUGUGAAAUCCCCCGGCUCAACCGGGGAAUUGCGCGUGAUACUGGCGGACUCGAGGCGGGUAGGGGUGGAGCGGAACUCCAGGUGGAGCGGUGAAAUGCGUAGAUAUCUGGAGGAACACCGGUGGCGAAAAGCGGCUCACUGGACCUGAUCUGACACUGAGGUGCGGAAAAGCUAGGGUAGCAAACGGG